GGAGAGUUUGAUCCUGGCUCAGAUUGAACGCUGGCGGCAGGCCUAACACAUGCAAGUCGAGCGGAUGAAGGGAGCUUGCUCUCUGAUUCAGCGGCGGACGGGUGAGUAAUGCCUAGGAAUCUGCCUGGUAGUGGGGGACAACGUUUCGAAAGGAACGCUAAUACCGCAUACGUCCUACGGGAGAAAGCAGGGGACCUUCGGGCCUUGCGCUAUCAGAUGAGCCUAGGUCGGAUUAGGUAGUAGGUGAGGUAAUGGCUCACCUAGGCGACGAUCCGUAACUGGUUUGAGAGGAUGAUCAGUCACCCUGGAACUGAGACCCGGUCCAGACUUCUACGGGAGGCAGCAGUGGGGAAUAUUGGACAAUGGGCGAAAGCCUGAUCCAGCCAUGCCGCGUGUGUGAAGAAGGUCUUUGGAUUGUAAAGCACUUUAAGUUGGGAGGAAGGUCAGUAAGUUAAUACCUUUCUGUUUAGACGUUACCAACAGAAUAAGCCCCGGCUAACUUCGUGCCAGCAGCCGCGGUAAUUCGAAGGGUGCAAGCGUUAAUUGGAAUUUCUGGGCGUAAAGCGCGCGUAGGUGGUUCAGCAAGUUGGAGGUGAAAUUCCCGGGCUCAACCUGGGAACUGCCUCCAAAACUAGUGAGCUAGAGUACGGUAGAGGGUAGUGGAAUUUCCUGUGUAGCGGUGAAAUGCGUAGAUAUAGGAAGGAACACCAGUGGCGAAGGCGACUA
rnacentral:rRNA from 1 species